rnacentral:misc_RNA from 1 species
AGAAUGAUAAAAAAGAUAGGAGAAUGUAGCAAGAGAAAGAUUUACGUGGUUCGACUACGGAGAGCCUCCAUCUACGGGCACAAAACAUCAAAAGGGCUAUAUUUUAUUUAUUUUAUUGUGUCUUACAUAAAACCUAGAACCCCAUAUUUAUAAUGAAAGAUACAUAAUAUGUGUAAAAUGCGAUUAAUAAAUCAUAAACCACUCCUAAGAUUUUG